rnacentral:lncRNA from 1 species
UGUUAACGGAUUGGCAAGCGUACCAAAUCGUUCAAGUAAUAAUAAAAUGGUAAGUCCAAGUAUCGUUUCCCAAGAGACUCGAAAGGCCUUAUCGUUCGUGUGAAUUAAGAUCGUAAGACUUGAAAAUAAAAAUUAAUUAAUUAGGUAUGAGAACAAAAUAUAAACAUGCAAAAGAGAUUGAUUCAAUUGUCGAGAAGAAAACGAUGGAUGAAUGAAGUUGUUGGGGGUUUACAAUUUCAUCUUAUCCGCUCUCUCUUAUUUACUCCUCUUGAUUUAUUUGCUUGAUUAACUAAUUGUUAUGCAACUUUCUUGGCCUACCCUUAACCUGAUCCCUCGGCGAAAAGAGCCUAUUACUAAUUACUGGCUUGCUAUCCCUAGCCUC